rnacentral:rRNA from 1 species
CGGGGUGCAGCAGGCGCGAAAACUUUACAAUGCGGGAAACCGUGAUAAGGGGACACCGAGUGCCAGCAUCAUAUGCUGGCUGUCCGGGUGUGUAAAAUACACCCGUUAGCAAGGGCCGGGCAAGACCGGUGCCAGCCGCCGCGGUAACACCGGCGGCCCGAGUGGUGAUCGUGAUUAUUGGGUCUAAAGGGUCCGUAGCCGGUUUGGUCAGUCCUCCGGGAAAUCUGACGGCUCAACCGUUAGGCUUUCGGGGGAUACUGCCAGGCUUGGAACCGGGAGAGGUAAGAGGUACUACAGGGGUAGGAGUGAAAUCUUGUAAUCCCUGUGAGACCACCUGUGGCGAAGGCGUCUUACCAGAACGGGUUCGACGGUGAGGGACGAAAGCUGGGGGCACGAACCGGAUUAGAUACCCGGGUAGUCCCAGCCGUAAACGAUGCUCGCUAGGUGUCAGGCAUGGCGCGACCGUGUCUGGUGCCGCAGGGAAGCCGUGAAGCGAGCCACCUGGGAAGUACGGCCGCAAGGCUGAAACUUAAAGGAAUUGGCGGGGGAGCACAAGGGCGAUUCGC